rnacentral:rRNA from 1 species
GAUCAUGGCUCAGGAUGAACGAUAGCUACAGGCUUAACGCAUGCAAGUCGAGGGGCAGCAUGAACUUAGCUUGCUAAGUUUGAUGGCGACCGGCGCACGGGUGAGUAACACGUAUCCAACCUGCCGAUGACUCGGGGAUAGCCUUUCGAAAGAAAGAUUAAUACCCGAUGGCAUAGUUCUUCCGCAUGGUAGAACUAUUAAAGAAUUUCGGUUAUCGAUGGGGAUGCGUUCCAUUAG